CCUCGGGGUGCCAUCGGUCGAAAAACCGCUGGCUGAGAUGCGAAAGCGGACCCGUUGAACCUGAACCGGAUCAUACCGGCGGAGGGAAGGUGCA
rnacentral:ncRNA from 1 species